CAACUUUCAGCAACGGAUCUCUUGGCUCUCGCAUCGAUGAAGAACGCAGCGAAUCGCGAUACGUAAUGUGAAUUGCAGAUUUUCAGUGAAUCAUCGAAUCUUUGAACGCACCUUGCGCUCCUUGGUAUUCCGAGGAGCAUGCCUGUUUGAGUGUCAU
rnacentral:rRNA from 4 species